AGUGAACGCUGGCGGCAGGCCUAACACAUGCAAGUCGAACGGCAGCACAGUAAGAGCUUGCUCUUACGGGUGGCGAGUGGCGGAUGGGUGAGGAAUACAUCGGAAUCUACUUUUUCGUGGGGGAUAACGACGGGAAACUUACGCUAAUACCGCAUCCGACCUACGGGUGAAAGCAGGGGAUCUUCGGACCUUUUGCGUUUGCAUGAGCCGUAGUCGCAUUAGCUAGUUGGCGGGGUAAAGGCCCACCAAGGCGACGAUCCGUAGCUGGUCUGAGAGGCUGAUCGGCGACACUGGAACUGGGACAGGGUCAAGGCUCCUGAGGGAGGCAGCAGUCGGGAAUAUUAGGCAAUGGGCGCAAGCCUGAUCCAGCCAUACCGAGUGUGUGACGAAGGCCUUCGGGUUGUAAAGCCCUUUUGUUGGGAAAGAAAAGCAGCAGGUUAAUACCCCGCUGUUCUGACGGUACCCAAAGAAUAAGCACCGGCUAACUACGUG
rnacentral:rRNA from 1 species